CUCCCUCCCUGUUCCGCUUCCGCUCCAGGACACGGACGAGCCUCCGUCCAUCGCUCCUCCCUCUUCGCGACAUGGGAAUGGAGAUGAUCACGAAUGUGUCCGAGUACGAGAGGCUCGCCAAGGAGAAGCUGCCCAAGAUGGUGUACGACUACUACGCCUCCGGCGCAGAGGAUCAGUGGACGCUCAACGAGAACAGGGAGGCCUUCUCCAGAAUCCUGUUCCGACCACGCGUACUGAUCGAUGUGUCCCAUAUCAACAUGGCCACAAACAUCUUGGGCUUCGACGUCUCCAUGCCGAUCAUGAUCGCUCCCACGGCCAUGCAGAAAAUGGCUCACCCUGAAGGAGAGCUUGCUACUGCAAGAGCAGCAGCAUCUGCAGGGACCAUAAUGACAUUGUCUUCAUGGGCUACUUCUAGUGUGGAAAGGGUUAACUCAGUAGGACCCGGGAUACGUUUCUUCCAGCUUUAUGUUUACAAGGACAGGAAUAUAGUUCGGCAACUCGUGAAAAGGGCUGAAAUGGCCGGGUUCAAGGCGAUCGCCCUCACCGUCGACACUCCGAGGCUCGGCCGCAGGGAAGCUGAUAUCAAGAACAGGUUCAACUUGCCUCCACAUCUGGUGCUGGAGAACUUUGCGGCGCUGGACCUCGGCAAGAUGGACAAGACAGAUGAUUCUGGGUUGGCUUCCUAUGUUGCUAGCCAGGUCGACCAAUCUCUUUGUUGGGAGGACGUCAGGUGGCUGCAGACAAUUACCUCGUUACCGAUCUUGGUGAAAGGGGUCAUGACUGCAGAAGACACUAGGAUUGCCAUCGAAUACGGCGCGGCCGGCAUCAUCGUGUCCAACCAUGGCGCUCGGCAGCUGGACUACGUCCCUGCAACCAUCAGCUGCCUGGAAGAGGUGGUCAGAGAGGCGAAGGGGCGGCUGCCGGUGUUCCUCGACGGCGGCGUCCGGCGCGGCACCGACGUGUUCAAGGCGCUGGCACUGGGAGCCGCGGGAGUAUUUAUCGGGAGGCCGGUGCUGUACUCGCUGGCGGUGGACGGCGAGGCGGGGGUGCGGAAGGUGCUGCAGAUGCUGCGGGACGAGCUGGAGCUGGCCAUGGCGCUCAGCGGGUGCCCGUCGCUCCGGGACAUCACCCGCGCCCACGUCGUCACAGACGGCGACAGGAUCCGCCGCGCACGCCUCUAGAUGGGGAGGCGCGCCGCAUCCGCCCUCAGCAGUACGUGCUUGUGCGCGCGGGCGCGCGCUGGUCGAUUUGAGAUGCCGCUCGUUCUUGUGCCUCCGUUUGAUCGAUCGAUGUAUCGGGCAAUAAAUUCGUAGAAAUAAAGUGUGGAGAAGGGCGCAUGCGUUGUCGUCGUGUAGUCUGCCCGCGAAAUGCUGUUUAUCACGUUCUGAUUUUGGCGACUACGCCCUCUCUGUCGGGUUUCGUAUUGUUGUCAUUCUGAAAGCAUGUCUAGCAGAAGCCUUAUGAUUGAGCCCUCUAUAUGACUGCUCAAAUUGAGUUAAAAAAAUGUGGUUCCUAGCCGAACUCUUAAAUU
rnacentral:rRNA from 1 species